CCUUUAGUCUCUUCAAUAUUUUGUGCUAGUCUUGGAAUUGCUUGAUGCUUAAUGAACUGGUCUUCAAUGUGUGUGUAAGCUUAACCUAUUAUAUGAGCAUAUAUUGCAAAAGUUUUAAUCCAAAAAAUUUAAGACAUACACUGGGAAACAACUUUGGCUUAACACUAUGUUUGAUAAUCUAUGCAGCAUCGAGAGAUUGCUCGAAACCAAGAUAAACAUUUGCAGGACAAUUUCAAACUUAUCGAUACAACAAACAUGUGGGCGAGUUUAAGAGCUAUCAAGAGAUAUGCCGACACUGAUGAAUCAAAGCACAAGAGGCACUCAGAUUUGAAGGACACAGCAGCUGGACCAGCUAUA